CACGUCAAGUCAUCAUGGCCCUUUUAGAGCGGGCUACACGUGUGUGACAUUGGCAAUCACAACAGGACGCUAUGGUAUGAGCCAGAGCAAAUCGUCUAAAGAUUGUCCAUGCAUGCCUUUUCUGAUUAGUCUAUGCAACUCUAGACUAUGAAGGCGGAAUCGCGAGUAAUCGCGGAUCAGCUACGCCGCGGUGAACAUUACAUAGAUCAUCUGUGCACACAUCGCCCGUCACGCUCAGAAAGUAGAUUUCUUUGAAAUCCUUUAAAACUCCUUGUGCGUUAUAGUCUGUAGAUUAAAAACAAAAAUGAUUUUUAAAGCAUACAAAGAAGUUUGCGAUUUGAGUGAAGUCGUAACCGGUCGCUCUAGGGGAACCUGGAGCGGAUAGGAAUUUAGCUUUAUAUUAUAUAAAAAAGA
rnacentral:rRNA from 1 species